rnacentral:lncRNA from 1 species
CUCAUCUUUUCUGGUAAUAAUCUCUACAUCCAAAACACGUCCAAACUUCCCAAAUCUUUCUUGCAGUUCAGCCUUAGAAACCGUAUGGCCAAGUCCUCCGACAUACAGGCGUUUUGAAACUUGUUUCUUCUCCAUAGUGAGAGUCAAGCUGUCACAUCUGUUUUUCGCUGCCGGGUUCCUGUUGGCGGCCGGGCGGGUUUGAGCGCAGCACGCAGCUCCGGGCCGGG